GCUUUGGAGCAGUGGUCUUUUUGUUCCCCUGGGACAACCCCCACUGGUUUCCAUUGGUGUUCAACCCCCAGCCCUGAGAAACGUUUGCCAUAAGAGCUCCAUCAGAGAGAGGCGUGUGAGGACCAUGGCCUUGGAGAACUGCUCCUGCCUCACAUCCGACCUGCUGCAGAAGGCUUGGGUGGAGGAAAUGAAAGAUGAGAAGGAAAUAUUAAACUCAGCCGUGCCGUGGAAGUCAGCGAAAGGCUGCAGCUUGAGGAGAGAAGCUGCAAGAUGCCCCUCCAUUGCAAGCCUCAGGAUUCAAAAAUCGGGCUGCAAGUGCAACUGGAUCAUUUUGAGAACAAAAAAGCACAGAGACAAGAGUGAACAGGAGCUGACUUAUUAUUUAAAGAAUUUCAUUUUCAUUUUGAGGUCCCUUCUUUCCUGGACUUCCCUGGACACCGAAAGGACACCUGGGAAAGGACACCAAUGCUGAGCCAAGCUGAGGGGUUGUUGUUGCUGCCUCCCAGCUACCAGGACAUCUACUGACUCUGGGAGAUUGGUUCUACAGCCAGUAUAUACUGAGAAGACAUUAACCUCUUGCAAAAGUGACCUAAAUUACUAUUAAUUGUAGUGGCAGGACUAAAUAGCUGUCCUCAGUGUGUUUACAACUGUAGAAACAAACAGUUUGUUCUCAAGAUAAUGACAAACCGCUUAUAUUUGGUCUACAAAGGGACUGUUUGUUCCCUAAAUACCUGCACCAAGAACUGUUUUGUGAAAGAAAAACAAAAUAUCUUCAUGAGCAACCCCCUGCCUAUGGCUGUUCUCCCUGAGACGCUGGCUCUGCUCGCCCAGCUCUGGCCAAAGCAAAAAAAAAAUAUCAGAUUUAGCUUUCUGGCAGGGAAUGGGAACUCAGGAGCCUGCCCUGGUCAGGUCAGAGAUGUAAAUAUAAAGCCACUUGGCUCCUGGGUGAUUUCCAGCAUUGCCACAAAUUUCUCAAGGGCUGUUAACCACUGAAGCUGGACUGAUCCUGGGGUUCAGAUGUCUCUGAGAUGUUGGCAUUGCUUCAGCAGAGGCUAGACAGAAACAACAGCCGUCCUGAGCGAUGACGUUCACAUGUCAACACUGUUCUAAUCUCUGGUGGUUUCUGAAAAAUCUUGCAAAGUGAAUUGUCCAAAUGGGGUGUCCAUUGAAUCAAGAAAUUCAUGAAGCCAGACAAAAGAAAAGCUGAGGCCCCACAAUCAAACCUUAAACCACAUCUUACCUGGAAACUCAACCUCUACCCUGUAGGCGUGAAUAAAAUUAAGUCUCUAAAUUUUUUUAGACCAUUCCAUGUCUCUUUCAGAAGCCGGUAUGAUUCCUUGGUUUUGAAGGUAGUUUGUGGCCCAAAUGCUGAUACAUCCUGCCCUGGUGAAAACUCCGAUGUGUGUCCGUGUCUUGCCUUUCCUGGAUUGUUAUCGAACAGAAGAAAACCAGCUUACAGAAAGAAUGAUUUUCUGGACUGGAGUCCCUUAGGCCUGUAAUUCUUAAUGCAGACUCAAAACUGAAUUCACUGUCAGACAUCUAUGUGUAUCUCUCAGACAUGUAUCAGAGACUGGGCAAUUUAUUGCAGCAGCAAAACUACAUCUGCUCUGAUUAGAUGGAAUAAAAUAAUGCCACAGAGAUGGAAGUGAGUACUGAAAAUCUUUAGCAAUGUGGUUUUCAAUCUCCUGCUCCCCUCUAUGAAUACACAUGCGGGUAUGAACUCCACUGCCUUGUGCAUGCAGAUGAAUCCACUUUCAUCUCUCCCAACCUGCGAGACCCCACACGAGGUCAGGUUUUAAAUUCUUGCCUGUGUGUGGGGCCAGCUCCACUGCAGAGCUCAGGGAUGCCCGCUUCCAAAUAUCCUUUUUCCCAUCCUGAGUGGGUUUGUUGUGUUUUGUUGGCCAAUUCCCCAUCGGCAGACCCCCGCGUCUACGUUGUAUGGAGUCUACGAAGAGCUGGAAGCUGUUCCUUCAGGGUUGGGACUUGGCAUUCAGCUGAAAUGCCACCACUGGGAUGACAGGGAAGUCACAGGCCAUGACACGCUGCCACAAUGGAAGCUGGUUCUUGGGCACUUGCUGGUCUCCAUCAUUCCCAGAGUGCCAGAGAGCUGGUACAUGAACACACACAGGGCAAAGGGCCAGCGAGCAGGACGUGAAACAGGUUGGGAUGUGUGAGAACAGGGUCCUGGCACACACCAGCACAAGCAGGAGUAAAAUCUGUGAGAUAAAUGGCUUCUUUUCCCUGGAUCUCACUGCUUCCAGCAAGGCUCUGCGUGUCUCCUGUUACACCCAGAAACAAGACUAGAUUCUUCACAGGGAUUCACACAUGGGAUGAUACAGGAAGAAGAACACAAGAAAUAUUAUCAAUCACCAGGAAAAGCUGCUGAACUCUGUAAAUAAACAGCUUCCUCAAAACUCUCCAGUUUACCCCACCAGGCUUCUGGAGAUUAUUUCUGCCAGAGGUUUUCAGUGCUUUCUUAACAUUAAUUCUCUUUUGAGAGUGAUUCACCUUGAAGAGUGAAUAUUUCCUCAAGAAUCUCGUUCUGAUCUGAGUGUUCCCUCUGACCUUAUAAUCUGCAGCUCUGUUAAUGCCUUAAUGGUACCUGGUUAUCCCGGCACAGCGGGAUGGUGCUGGAACGACCUGCCAUCCCGGAUUAUGAGCUCUUCUGGGCUUUCUGGGAAACCCUUGCUGCUGUUUGUAGAACAGUGUGGUUUCUUUCUUCCUUACUGCAAAGUACAGGCUUACAGACCCCUCACUCUUGCCUGUAAAAAUAGUAUCACUGUCUCAUUCAGAUCCAUCUAUUUAGACCUUUUAUUUUGUUUAUUUUCCUUUUUCUUUAUUUUUUUUUCACCCCAAAUUGUCUCUUUUGCUCCAUUCUGCUGGGCUGUCUAUGUUCAUCCUUCGUGAGGCUGUUCUUCAAAAACAUCGAAAAUUUAGUACAAAUGACCACCUUUUGCACCCCUACUAACACCUCCUCUACUCACGUGUUCCCAGGCAGGAAGGGCUGAAUCUCUUCUUGGUGUUUCUUCUGCUGGGACUGACUUUCCAAAGCAGGCUGCAACAGCUCAGAUCACCAGCAGAGCUACUGCAGUAUUUAGGUCUCAAGCAUGUGACCCUCUAAUGACCUGUCAAUAUGUAUUUAGGACCCAUCCUUUCAUUUCUUGGCUUCUACAAGAAUUUUGGGUGCCUUGACUAUGAAAACCUUACAAGUUCCUGGCACUUAAUAACGCAGCAAUGAGUAGGACUAGUUGAGUUUAUAAUUUCUCUCUCUGAGUUUAUCAUUUGUUUCCUGAGCCCUGUUUUCCCUGUGAUCAAAGGAAGACCUUGGACUAGUUUUUUAACAGCAGUUAAAAAGACCUGCUGGCCUCGCAGACCCACAUUUACCCGGCAAACCCAACUCCUCCAGAAUUUGCAUGUUUUGCCCUCGGUGAUUUUAGCUGUUAGCCUUCCUGACACUCAGCAGUGGGAGCCAGAAGCACUUUGUCAGUAACAAAAGAAGGAAAGCACGGGAGAGCUGAAGGUAUCACUCCCGGGCUGCGCUGGUUGUGUGCGGUGGUGUGUGGGUGGUGAAAGGCUCUCCAGGGCUUGGUUAGACGCGUUGCACAAGUCCCUGGGACACUGCAGUUGUGUAUGUUCAACAGACCAUUGUGGUAUCCUUGGGAUUUUAUAACAUUUCCACAUUGCAGCAUUCACACAUAGAGUGUAACUGGGAAUAUCUGUAACGUUCAGAUGCAGACACACUUAUGGUACAGUGCAAAUGCGCAUUAUAAGGAGAAUCUGGAACACUAGAUUUUUUUUCGAGUGUUGCAAGAGGAGUGCAGUGACACACAAGCAAAGACACUCACCAGUAAUAUGCUAUUACUAUCCUUGAAAAUAUAAAGAUUUUCCAUGUGUUUUCCAGGUUAUAUAAAGCAAACACACAUGUCUCCACCUGGUCCUCUCUACUCAAACAAUGAUCUCUAAUGGUGCUUCACCCUGAGAAAGCAGGUGGGAUUAAAUCUGAAAUUUACAGUCAGGUAAUGAAAUGGGUGUUUCUGACGUUUGUGGAGGAGAAAGCACAGGCCAUUCUGCUCUCUCUGCCUCUCAAGCAUCUUCAGCUUGAAAUUUCCAGUCACUGCCGCAUUCUCUGGCAGGCCAGACAGAAGUACAGAUAACAUAAUAUGGCACAGUGCAUCGUCUACUGGUCAGGAGUAGGAGGAAUUGAUUUUUGACUAAUAAAGAAAAUUCAUUACCCAGACUGAAUGAGUCACAAGGAAAUGAAGGCUGCUGUAAAGAGGGAGGAUGGACUCAUGCACCCUGUUAUUUUGGGCUUGCUUGGUUGCAGAAAAGGUCUGUCUAUACAGCAUCACAAUCUGCUCAGCCUUGGCCCGUGUCCUACCACAGCCUUGCAGCUCGGUAACUGCUGUUCAGGAUGGAGAGAGGUCUUUGGUGCUGCUAGGACUCAAGUGUGAUUUGUUUUCCCCUCAGCAGACUAGCACCCUUUACACAUCCCCAUCCCUCCGAGAAGCUGAAAGGAGGGUAUUACUGGUGCCAGGCUCAGCCAGCACGCAGAGGGUGGGCAAAAGGAGGUGAAUGCUUAGGGGUAGAGAGAUGCUGGAGAAAAAGCACCUACUGCUCCUCCACUCCAGAGUGAGCUAGACUUUUAGCACGACAGACUGCAGAUAUCCACUCAGGUAAGUGAGAUCAGAUCCUGAUCCAAAGGGUUGUGAUCUAGAUUUGGUGCCUGGUGUGGUUUUACUUCCCCAACAGCCUGGCUUGGCUCAGGUCCUGGGUUUGAGAAGAGAAGCAGACUGCCAAGCCAGAGGGUAUACAGACCAGUACAGUGCAACGUUGGGGAUGUCCAAGAACAAGAGUAAUCUGGGGUUUGGUUUGAUCAGCACUUCAUGCUCUCUGCAGCCCUGCAUCUGUAGCAAAGAGCUCUGACCCCUCAGACAACCCUGCAGGGAGGCAGGAGGAGCACAGAGGACAUGUGGGAGGGGAGAAGAUGCUGCAGUGCGUUCCAUGGGCUUGGUGGCUGCAGCACAAGUUUCUGCAUUAUCCAGGGUAACCUGCAGUGCUGUCUGGAACAGGUCAGGGUUUUUCUCCAUACCCACAUGUCUGCAGGUGUCCCAGAGCCCAGACAUGGGGCAGCAAGGUGAUGGACCACACUGGGGAAUAUCUGCUCCAGCCUGCUUGAGCUGGUGGGGUUUGGCUGCUCAAGGCAGGGGAACUUGGUGUCCCAACAGGGCAUGUGUGCUCUCACCUCGCUCCCAGGCAGGAGAAGUUGCCAAAAGGUUGUGGGAUUUCUGACCAGAAGCCUCCUUUCCAUCAUACUGAAGUCUCUCUUCCUUGAAGGCGCUUUCCCUGUCCCUCACUGUUAUUCACUUUGGGACUGACAGCAUCUUCUGUGGCAGGGAAUGGUAUCUUCUUAGUUAGAAGCCUCCUUGUUUAGUCUUACAGCUGUCAAUUAAUCCCACAUUUCUGCUAUUCAGACUAGCUGGUGGGUAGCAACAUUUCCUGCUGGAAUGAGAAUUUGUUGUGAAUAAGAGCUGGAAGGGGAACAGCAUUAAUAUUUGACAGCAGUUAGUGCUGAGGGAGUCUUUGCACUUCACAACCCGAGACCCACAGGGGUUUCUCAAACUAGCAGUAGCUUAACAGCAUUUAAACAGGCUUUUGCCACAUGCAGCCCAGCUGGGGGCUGCUGCUGGCCCAGACGGGCUUGUGCCAUCCACGACUCAGCUGUGCUUCCCUGCUCGGGCUUGUCCUUUAGAUCAGAGGUUUUGGGACACAGGAAGAAUAAAAGCAGCUGAUGAAAUACAGCUGCUUCCUUUUUACCCCCUGAUCUAAAAUUGUGUGAUACCGGCCACAUCAUAUCUCAGCAUCUGCUGAUGUUCCUCCAGUUUGGGGGAGAAAUCUGCCCCCUCCCACCCUAGACUUCUGGUUUUGUGGAGUUCAAGAAUUGAAGCCAUGGCAGCUCUGCUGCCAGCAAAGAGAUAUUCGAGGUUUCAUUCCAAAACAGCUUGUGAAUGGGCAGGAACAAUGUUUUGUCUUUCUUUUCACAUCUCAGCUUGAAAUUUCUAUGUAAUUUUCUGCAUUUUCUGAUAUUUUAAAUACUAAGGGUCUGAAACUUGGCUGUGUCUGAAAUUUUCCCCGUUCAGCCUGAUCACCUGGCUAACAGGUAUAAUUUUCAAAUCCUUGUGCAUCUCUGCAGGAUUUUAUACCAAGAUCUGUCCUAGCGGGUUUGUGCAGAAACCUGAAGUGUGAACGUUCAUUUUAUCAGCUUUUGCAUCACUUGGGGUUGUUGUUUGUUGGAAGUGGAAGUUUACUUGGCAACUGUUGGAGAUGUAAACUCUUUGCUGCCUUCCUAUACGCUGCCAUGAAGAUACUCUGCAGAACACAGGGAAGGAUUUUUGGGGACAUAGAACAGGCAAUGCCCAGCUUUGGGCAGGGGUGCCUUCAUCCUUCUGCAGCUGCAUUUGUACCCACCAUGCAGAUUCCUCCCUGCCACCAUCCUGAAGAGCCAGAAGGUCCAUGUUCCAACAGACCUUGCUGGGAUCCGUGAUCUAAGCCCAAGUUCAACCAGUAAAUACAGGAAGAAAUCUUUGUGGGGAAAACCCAAUGCUUUGUUUGGCCCAAAAUAGAGUCGUACAUUUCAAUUUUUAUUUCAUUCUUUUACAAUGUUUUCAAUAAAACUGCAU